rnacentral:lncRNA from 1 species
GAGUUUGGGAGGGGGGCAUCAGCUCCCAGGCCUCCUAGAGCUUUUCUCUCCCUCUUCCUCUUCAUCCUCCUCUUCCAUAAGAGGAAUUUUUGUGGGAAUCAGGGAGGUGCAAUAGGAAGCAGCCGUGGGAGGGAAGAUGAAGACUAUGGUGGACCCACCCUGGCUUACAAAGACUUUUUGGUGUUUUUCUCCCAUGGCAUUUGCCUUCCCUGCCCCAGCAGUUUCCCUCAGGUGUUGCUUCUGCCCCUGCUGACCUUGGUGACUGUGUCACCUGUCAGCAGGUCAGGGUCACAGCUGGCACCAGCCCAUGAGCCAGCCUGCCUUGCUCGCCACGCUGGAGCCACCACGCUGGAGCCAGCUGUGGAUCUCUCUUACGAAAUCAUCUGCUGACUCACCCUUCCCUUGCUUGCCUAAGUGAAAUCAUGCCUGCCUUUAAAAAUCUCAUUGCAGCAUUACAUGACACAUUUAUCCACUUCUUUCACUGUCAUGAGCUGCUUCAGAUAAGCAGCUGUGAGGUUUUUGGGAAAGAUAAUGUGGGCUUUUUUCUUUGCUCCAGGGCCUCUGAAAUAGGCAUUACUUCUUCUCUGCUUGCUGAUAUAAAUACAAAUCUGUUGAAUCGCUCUGGUUGUUCCUGGAGAUGCUGGGAAUUUGCUUUCUCCAUUGCAGUGUGGACUCAGAGAGAUCUCUCUGGGCCAGGUUUGGUUUAGGGACCAGCACUGGGAGGAUUUUCAGUUGCUGUGCCAAGACUGGAGGCAUUAUUUACAUGCACCCUAUUUUGCAGAGCCAGUGUCAUGCAUUGAAUCCAUGUCCAUGUCCUUUAGCUACCCAAAGCAAGAGCCUGAUGAGUGAUGGAUCUUAGAGAUGGACAGACAGAUUGGUCUCUUCUACCCUUCAGGCAGAGCAUUUAUCACAGAUGUGCUCACCAUGUCUUGUGGAGCCUUUCCACCAAGAUGUGCUUGUCACAGACAUUAUCACAGCAAUACCAGAGUUACUCCUAGCAAAAAUCCUCUGGGAGAUAUUCCAGGAGAAAUGAAAGCAUUUCAAUCAAACCAAAAAGUGAGUGCGAAUCACAUUUUGAACAGAGCACAGUCGUCCAGUAGAAACAAUGAUUUCCCUCCCUGCAUGCAUCUUGGAAAAACUGAUCUGUGCUCGUCACGCAGGGAUGUGAUAUCAGAAAUUUGA